rnacentral:rRNA from 1 species
UACAGAGGUCUCAAGCGUUGUUCGGAUUCAUUGGGCGUAAAGGGUGCGUAGGCGGCGCGGUAAGUCGGGUGUGAAAUCUCGGAGCUUAACUCCGAAACUGCAUUCGAUACUGCCGUGCUUGAGGACUGGAGAGGAGACUGGAAUUUACGGUGUAGCGGUGAAAUGCGUAGAUAUCGUAAGGAAGACCAGUGGCGAAGGCGGGUCUCUGGACAGUUCCUGACGCUGAGGCACGGAAGGUCAGGGGGAGCAAACGGGG